rnacentral:rRNA from 1 species
GCCUACAUGAAGCUGGAGUUGCUAGUAAUCGCGAAUCAGCAUGUCGCGGUGAAUACGUUCCCGGGCCUUGUACACACCGCCCGUCACACCAUGAGAGUCGGCAAUACCCAACGUACGUGAUCUAACCCGCAAGGGAGGAAGCGUCCUAAGGUAGGGUCAGCGAUUGGGGUGAAGUCGUAACAAGGUAGC